AACGCACAUUGCGCCCUCUGGUAUUCCGGGGGGCAUGCCUGUUCGAGCGUCAUUACAACCCUCAAGCUCAGCUUGGUAUUGGGUGCCACCAGGAGGUGCACCUCAAAAUCAGUGACGGUGCCAUUCGGCUUCAAGCGUAGUAACUAUUCUCGCUCUGGACCCCGGGUGUGCCCUCGCCAGAAACCCCCACUACAUACAAAGGUUGACCUCGGAUCAGGUAGGGAUACCCGCUGAACCUAA
rnacentral:misc_RNA from 1 species